CCAACAGCCAGUUGCUGACAGCCAGGGGAAGAGCGAGCACCUGUGAAGGCAGGUGCCGGGCCCCCCCAUCUUACAGAUGUAAUCACUGCAGCUCAGGGAGGUUAAGUGACCUGUCCAGGGUCACGCAGCUUGUCUGCGGCAGACCUAGAUCACAAGCCCAGCAACUGAAACAAUGCUGGGCACGUAGUAGGUCCUGGUCACCCUUGUUGAAUUAACUGUCACCAUCACUGAACCGUCCAGCCUUGGCUAGUCUGGAGCUGUGAGGACAGCUCUGUGGGGUGACUGGCCUCCCGUGUCCACAGACAACACAGUCUCACCGUCACCUGAGCAUGCCCGGCCUUCAUUUUAAGCAUACACACAGGACACAGCAUGUGACCAGCAUCAGGCUCUGGGACCCAGCAGUUACGAGAAGCAGCAGGGAUGAGGCCCGGGCCCCAAAGGGAAGGAAAACUGCACUUUCCCAACCAAGUCCGGCUCUAAGACAACCCUCCCUGCAAAUUAGGUGCUAGCCUCUCCAUUUUCCAGAGGGGGAGAUGGAGGCUGAGAGAGGUUCAGUCACCCGCCAAGGUCACAGAGCUUUCCCACAGGCUCCAGGCCUCAAGCGCUCCCCUGCGGCACCUCCUUUCUCAGGAUCCUCCUUCUCCCAUGAGCCCGAUGCUCACUCAUGGGUGCCAGGUCCCGCUGCACAACCUUCCACAUUCCCAUAUUCUCCUCCAUCUGCCAUUCCCCUCCUACCCCUUCCCGCAGCAGGUCUUCCCUGAUUCACCCUCCCGGGCCUCAGACUCUUGCAGCCACGCGUGGGCUGUUCUUCCAGGGGCCUGACAGCCGAGCAGAGGACCUGCUUCUGUCCCCAGGCUGCCGAGGACAGUGUUCCCAGCCCUGCAGGGGCCUGUGCUGCCUGCCACACUCAUCCAGGGUCCAAGUCCUCACUUGUACCAUCAUGUCACCAGCUUCUGAACGUACCUUGGGUGCCCAGCCCUACACACAGAGUGCCAUGCGCACUGCCCCCCACACCCGUCUUUGGCCCUGGCACUUACCCCUGCACCUGGCAUUUAGAGCCUCACUCCAAGAAGGGAGUCCUGGAGCAGGUGAAGGCCUCAUGGAGCAGACCACCGCACUAUUUCCCACGGCGCCCACGCUGUGCUAACUCCUCCCACUAGCAGGAUCUGUGCAGUGAUGCAAAGUGCUGGGGGCUCCGAGUCAGAAACCUGGCCCACCACAAUCUGAUGUGGGCCAAGCUCUGGGCCUCAGUUUCCCCACCCGGGAAAGGGAAGCACUGGCCUAAAGUAGCCUGGAGCUUGAGAACCCUAACCGCUCCCUAAACAUCACCAUCGCACCUGCCCUCUCUGCUUUUCCUGAACACCUGGCACUCAGUGUGUGUUGGUUGAAUGAAUAAAUCCAUUUGUGGUACCCAGUAGCCAGGUGAGGUGGGUAGGUAUGGAGGGGCUGAGGCCCAAAGAAAGAAGUGGCUUGCCCAAGGUCAAGGUGAGAGGCAGGGCCUGGGCCUUGACACAG